GCCUGGCUGGCUCAGUUGGCAGAGCAUGUGACUCUUGAUCCCGGGGCUGUGAGUUUGAGCCCCACAUUAGGUG
rnacentral:tRNA from 1 species